GUGAAGCUGACAUGUCCCGAGCUGGCAGCCACGCUGAGGUGUGCGUCGAGGGCGUAACUUCACCGCCAACCUGUUGGCGAUAAAGAGCACAGGAGUCAAAGGUUCUGAAUGAAACGGGAUGAUCCUCAGUGCUGGAGCAUGUUCCUCCUGUGUGACCUCUGACCUUUUCACCCCUGAGGCCUGGACCAUGUCAUCCAAGAGAGCAGUGUUGCUGUGUGAGUCUGACCUGUGGGUUCCAUAGAAUAAGAAAGUGAUGACCUUUUUUUCCCCACAUGAAUCACACACUAAUAUGAGACACAGACACUGUAGUGACUGUCAGCAGCUAUUGUCCUCCACUCACCUGUGUGUUGGUCUCAGUGGUGAGGCAACGGUCAAGGGCACAGUCAGCAGCAGCAGGACAGUUAUCUCCAUACCGCAGUGGCCUGGAGCAGAGAGAAAGGGAAUGAUUCUGAUCCAAUAAAAAAAACUUCACUGAA